CUGGGAGUCACUGAGGUGUAGUUAACUGCAGAAACUGCGUUCAUGUCUUUUGAAAUGGAAGAAAAAGCUUGUGAAGUAAACACACUUCUUCCAAACAGACCCAGGCACGUAGAUCUGCUGUCUGCCAGAAGCAGCAAGCCAUGCAUUACUGGAUGGUUUUUGUUAGUCCCCGAAGUAAUCCUUCAUCCGUGUGAAAGUGGAAUGCUAAAAGAACAAGUUGACAACAGCACCAGAAAAUAAGGUGAAAAUAUGUCACCAUUUAGUGAGUACAACCUGAUAACAGACCAACAUAACAGACCACGUGAGAGGAGAAAAAGCAGUCUUCAGCUGUGAGCUGUGUACGUACACCUCACUCAAGAGAUCGAGUCGGAACUGUCACAGGAAAAUCCAUUCUGAAGAAAAAUGUCAUGUGUCUCAAGGCUUUUCAAACAGCUGCUCUCCUGCAGAACCAUGUGAAUGUCCAUACAGGUAUCUGCUGCGUGUAGAUAUUCCAUGUUACCUAUUGCCUGCAGUACUUAACCAGCAGGCAAGUGACAGACUUAGAGGUGUGUUCUGUGAUCAUUCUGCCCUCAGGAGUUCCACUAGUUUUGUUUUGAGUUCCACACUGAGAGGAUGUGGUCUGUUUGCAAUUCUGUGUCCCCUUUUACCAUUCUGAGAAUUUUCAUCAACUGGAAAUUUGCUUCAGUUUUGUCAGAUUUCUGCAUGCAUGAUAGAAACUUCUCUGAUGCCUUCUUUGUGGCUGUUUAACAAUGUGAAGCAAACUGACAAAUCAGGUGUUUAUAAUCAAUAUAUGGGGGAUGCUUAUUGUCUAUUUAAAAUAAAAAAUAAAGUCACAAAAAGGUUUGAAGUUUAAAGCAAGGGGGGAAAGGGAACGUAGAGAUAAUUAGGGCCGGAAUGUUUCUAAUUGUUACUGCUUAUAAUGAUACCAAAUGCGUUACGUGACUGAAUAUUCUGUGGAAAAUGUGGUCACUGCUGAUUUACGGGGAGGUUCCUGCAAGGAGAUGGGGUGACAUCUUGUGGCUGAUGAUUUAAACUGUUUAAAAUACAAAGCAUCCAAUAUUGUGGUUCUUUUCCCCUCCAGGGUACCUGUAGGAUUCUGAAUUUGCUUAUAUCAACAUCUAAUAUUAUUUUCAGGCUGUGUAACAAUCGUGAAACAUUGAAGGUGAUACAAUAACCUGAAAUACCUCUUCCCUGGUUGGGGUCUUCUCCCAGAAUGUAAAAAAUAGGGCACUGCAUAAGUUCAUUUUUACUCUGUAUGCAGAAAAUACAGCUUAUAUACCCAGUGUGCAAAAUUUGUCUGCCAAAACAAUAUUUGUUGGGUUUUUUUUGUGUGUGUGUUAAAGUGCUUCCAUGUAUUAAUAUUGGAUUCACGUAUUUACGCUGCAUUAUGCUAGCAGCGUGGUGUGCACAAGCAUCCUGAAAACUGUGGAUUGGUGAGGGCCAAAACUGCUACGCCCAGAAAAAGAAGCAAGGACAGAAGGAAAGAAAGUGAGAAUGAAAAGCAUGCUAAGCAAAAAGGUAAUCAGUGAAUAAGCUAGAAUUUAAUCAUGUAAAUUAGAAUCAAGAAUGAAAGGCUAAGGUGUGAAUCUUCCCUGCUGCUUAAUUACUGUUUCACAAUGAAGCUAAUUUCAGUGCUAAUAAUGGAGGAAUGCUUUCGAAUAGUCUUGAAUUGUGGAGCAGAAGUUCUGGUCUUCCUUGCUGGGUCACUGCUCAGGUGCUUGUUCUGGGACUGCUGCUUCUCAGCUCCUGCACGUAUCUUCCUACACUCCCUGCUCAGCAAUACUUACAAACCUGUUUUUUCUUUUCCCUUUUACAAAUUCCUUUGCCUUUAUAAAGGUGAAUGAAACAAUCAUUGCUGAGUUGAGCCAUAGUGAGUUACCUUACGAGCCCAUUUUUGAUAAUACACUGCUUUAAUACAGACCAGAUUGGAACGUUUUCAGUUUCAAAACUCAAAUUGCACAUUAAUCUCAAUAUGCAUCUUAAUGAAGAAAUUGUUCUUCUCUCAUACUUGAAUCAGAUAAUAAAAACUCUAGUGAUUUAAAUAGUUAGAGUUAUCCCUCUGUCAUGCUGCAGAGGUGACCAGGCUCAUUUACAGAGCUCUUGGCUCAGUAUGUCUGUACAGUCAGAAGGGCACUUGUAAUUACUUAGUGUUACACAGUGUAGGUAGCUCUUGAGCACUGAGCAUUUAUUCCUUCAAUAUAAAACAGAGGAUGCUCUGUAGUUAAUCUCUUCCUUUCUCUUUCUUCUGCUUCCUCAUCUUUUCUCAUUGGGUUAAGGUUCCUACGGAGUGAAUACAUUCACAUCUGGGAAGAUCAGCAUGGUAGGCUAAUUGACUGGUUGAGCUCAGUCAGAGAGACCUCCAUAGGGAUAAUAGUGGCACCUUUCUGUCUGCUGGCAUUUUCCUGGCACCAUUAUUUCUCUUCUUUGCAACUCUUAACAGAGAUGAGGUUAACUUUAAUGCUCUUAAACCUCAGUGUGCCAUCACAUACGUGGUAAUAUUCUAGCAAUUCUACCUUACAGUCUAUAUUUGAUCCAGAGAUGUUUCCUUAUUUAUGUGCAUUUCUGUUGAGCUAGGCAAAGCACAGUAUAUACAAAAUUCAGUUAGGCAAGGCCAUGGGCAGGAUCCUGGUCUCCUCAUGCAGCAAGAGACAAUUAUGGAAAUAUAGCUAAGGCCUAGGUGUCCUCAAACAUUACAUUUUAAUAUAGCACGUUAUACCUACGCUGAUUUGUGGCCAAUGACAUGGAGAUAAAAUCUGACACGGAGUAAGAAAUGUUGAAGCCUUUCAGAAUCUAAUGAAUAUAUAUCAGCAGCUGAGUUUACAUUAGCAUUGACAUUUCUCUUUUCACUGGUAAGGCUGUAAUGGUAUGGUUAGAGAGAAGUUUACAGCUGCAGUGUGUAUGCUUUUGCAAUAAUUAGAUUUAGCUGUUUAUUAAUGUUUUGGUGCAUGCAAACAGUAUCUUUCUGGUAUCUUUCAGAUCCUUUCAUCUGGAAGCUUCAAUUUCUACAGCUAAGAUAAUGUCUCAUUAGAUAUUGCUCAUGCAGAUAUUCAGUCUGUUAUUUGACUUGCACAACUCCUAGAAUUCCUGUGCUAGUUCCCGAUUUUUUUCUGAAUAGAUGACAUUUGGGAGUAUACAGUGCUGCUCACUUCUGGCACAGUAUGCAGGGAUCCUCUGUGUGCCUUCAUUGAUGGCUGUUAUCGUAAGGGCUGAGCCCCUGUUAGGAAUGUCCUGUGGCUGGUGCCAUCGGUGAUUUGCUGGCACACACAUCUUCUUUUUUAAUUGUUGGUUAUAUUAUAAGACGAAAAUUAACUUUCCACUUAAUGCUUAGCUUUCCUCUAAACAUAUAAUGAGUGCUACUUACUUACCUGGCUCAUCGUGUAAUAUUCAGUGUAAAGUGGCUUCAUUCUCUCAAUAAAUUGAAAGCUGAGAUAUGAUGCUAUAUAUUGGAAGUAUUUGAUCCACUACAUUAAAGUGCCUAAUAGUGAAAACUAUUGAAAUACUUGCUUGUCUUUCUGGUUAAUCACCACAAUAUUUAAUAUUUUGCAAAACUGACCUGGAAUUGUUCCCAGAUGUCUCUACUGUGAAGAGUGAACAUUGUGCCAGAGAGAUUGCUCCUCAUUUAGAAGGAACAGAGGGAACAGCUUUGAAAGCAGAAGACAGAAGCACCUUGUGAGAUGGCUGUGAUGGACUGACAUCUGAAGGUUACUGGGAAGCUUCACCUCUUUUAUUCCAUUCACACAACAGAACGAAGAAAAUGAGCUAAAUUUGAAGUAAGUUAUGAAAGAUGGAUUUCUUUCAACUUGAAUGUCAUUUUUCUUAUAGAUUUACAUACAGAAUUCCAGAUUUACAUACUGACCUGAAACAAAUUUAUUCUUUAGUAACUCUGUACAGCUGAGAGCUGUGUGAACUUCAGUCUGUUUGUAUUUUCCUGAGGUGAGAAAUGAAAGGCAAUGAUACUGCAGUGUAAGGAACAUGUGCUAAAUCUCCUUUCAGCGAACACUUUCUAUCCGAUGUUUGUGGCGAUCACUAGGAGUCAGUUUGUUUCAUCUAUUGAAGUUAUUCAAUAGCUUUAUCCUCCUCCCGUUACAGUGGUGGUUGUUUGAGUGUUUAAUAAGGUUCAAUAAUUACUGCUUUGUGUCUGUUUUCAUAAAGGUUUUCAUUAUUGUCAUAAAUCCUGAGCAACAGAUUUCUUUGUUGAAAUUCAUCUUUGAGGUCUGUAUAAGUUACGUGAUCAAUGUUCUGAAUAUAUUGCUUGCUUCAGUUGUUAAUAACCAAGCUGAAUGCUAUCCUGUGCUGGCGUCUGAGCAUCAGGCUACACAAAGUGGAAUGUAAAUGGAAAAAUAAAAGAUCUUAAUGAAGUCAAAAGAUGAGUAUCUGAAUAGUGAGAAGCCAGAAUGUGUCCUUCUUGAAAUCAAGAAAGAAUGCUUUUGACCUAUUCAGGAGCCAUUCCUUAUGGACUCAAGCUUUUUAACUGGGAACAUGGAUUGCUCUUUAUGAUUAAGAACUUGCAUUACCGUG
ensembl:lncRNA